CAUGCGCAGAGGCCGCCACGGCCGCUACUGCCACCGCCGCCGCCAGGCCGAGCUUCAACACUUCCGGCCGCCGCCGCCGGCGAGCUGGCGCCUUAAAGGGGACGCGUCCUUAUUGCGGGCCCCGCGGAGGAUGAAUCUCAGCCGGAGGGAUUUCGGUGAACCUCUACCUGAGCAGGGGUCUUCUGCUCUGGAGAGUCAGUAUUGGAAAGGGCUCUGGGGACCCUAAUAACUCUUCUUCCCGCACUAUCAGAUACAACAAAACAAAAACAAAACAGGGAAGUAAGAGAAUCAAUUAAUUCUUCAAGGUCACAUAACCUUAAAUGGCAUAGGCAGGAUUUCUAUACAGGCCCUUUUUUUUGAGGGGGAAAGAAAAUUGGUUCCCCAUCUUGCCUCCUCCAAUGAUGUCCCAUCCACCACCACGAAGAGGUGACAGGAAGGAGGUCUUACAAGCUCUUGAUUCAAGGACAGCCUGAGGUUGAAAGCAGUGCCACCAGGACCAGACGUUGAGCAGGCCUGCUGGGGUUGGACCAGCUGGAGAGUUUGUGCCCGAUCUGGAGGGGCACCCGCUCCUCUACCAGUCUGCCAUGGAACCAGAAUGUGGGCCCAGCGUGGCUUGAGCAUCCGAUUUGGAAGAGGAGGUGGUUUUAUUUGAUUUCUUACCCGAUCUUCUGCAUCACAUUCUCAGAAGCCAGAACCCACUGACAGAUGGGGAGUGAAUCAGAAAAAGAAAUUCUGCCAGUGGGUGCAAAAAAGAAAGAAAAAGAAACAAGAAAAAAAAAUCUGGGUUGAAACUAGAUUUGGUCAAGUGAAUCACCUACUCCCCAACCCAGAAACCCCUUCAGCCACUGUCCCACCACCAUGACCAAACCAAAAGACUGGAUUUCUGUUUUUGGAGUCAGAGUGGACAAGAUUCCAAUUAUGCUGGUUCUAUGAACUUGGACUGGUCUCUGCCUUAGAUUCUUCAUCUGAAAAAGGAAGAUAGUUAUGGAACGUCACUCAUAAAGGAGUUGUGAAGAGUAAAUGAAGAAUUCACACUCACGAAAAGACUAAGAAUAAUGUCUGGAAUGUAUUAAGUACUCAAGAAAUACCAGCUAGUAUUACUAUUAAUGUUCCAACUGGCACCGCGCCCCUGCCUUACAGAACUCAGAGCCCAGUCAACUGCCUCCAUUGGCUACAGGACCUCUCUAGGCCUCAGUCUCCUCAUCUGUGAUGGAGAUCAUUAGUAGCUACACUUAUGAGCACAUGCUCUGUGCCAGGCACUUGGCAUACACAGUUUUGCUGACUUGAGUAACCUCCCUGAGCUGGUGACCAGCUUCCAGCCCCAGUGCUGGUGACCUCUUAGGCAUACCCCAAACCUUGCUCUUCACCAUCUUCUCUUUAAAAUUUUUUAUUUUAGGGGCACCUGGGUGGCUCAGUCGGUUAAGCGUCCAACU